rnacentral:misc_RNA from 1 species
UCCGGUUUGACCCCGGCAGUCUCCUACGAGUCCCCGGCAUUACCCGCUGGCAACAUAGGACAAGGGUUGCGCUCGUUGCGGCACUUAAGCCAACACCUCACGGCACGAGCUGACGACAGCCAUGCAGCACCUGUGCUAGCCCCUUACGGACACGGGCUUUCACCCGCUUUAACUAGCAUGUCAAACCCAGGUAAGGUUCUUCGCGUUGCAUCGAAUUAAACCACAUGCUCCACCGCUUGUGCGGGCCCCCGUCAAUUCCUUUGAGUUUCAGGCUUGCGCCCGUACUCCCCAGGUGGGAUACUUAUCACUUUCGCUUAGCCACUCAGGUUGCCCCGAACAGCUAGUAUCCAUCGUUUACGGCGUGGACUAC